rnacentral:rRNA from 1 species
UGGGGAAUAUUGGACAAUGGGCGCAAGCCUGAUCCAGCCAUGCCGCGUGAGUGAUGAAGGCCUUAGGGUUGUAAAGCUCUUUUAGCAGGGAAGAUAAUGACUGUACCUGCAGAAUAAGCUCCGGCUAACUUCGUGCCAGCAGCCGCGGUAAUACGAAGGGAGCUAGCGUUGUUCGGAAUCACUGGGCGUAAAGCGCACGUAGGCGGAUUUGUUAGUGAGGGGUGAAAUCCCGGGGCUCAACCUCGGAACUGCCUUUCAUACUGCAAGUCUCGAGUCCGAUAGAGGUGGGUGGAAUUCCUAGUGUAGAGGUGAAAUUCGUAGAUAUUAGGAAGAACACCGGUGGCGAAGGCGGCCCACUGGAUCGGUACUGACGCUGAGGUGCGAAAGCGUGGGGAGCAAACAGG